CGUAGAUGUUUGUGAUAUGGAAGGCUGCGGAAGUUUCCCUAUAUUAACCCAGUCACCGACAGUCCGACUCAGAGAACAGCGAUGAAUCCACGUUCACACAACCUCUGUAUGUCGUGUUGCCCGUUUGCUGAACUUCAAAGUACUAAACUAGCAGGUUUCUCAGCGAUGGACGGCAGGUGUCUCCUAGCCGGGUCAUUGACAUCCCAGAGCCUCUGGAACUCAGUGAUGAAGGGCAGGACUAGGUCCGGUUCCUCCGUGACCAGGAUGUUCUCCUUGUUGCUCUGGAUGGCGGUCAGCGUCCAGUUCAGGGAGCCGGUGAUUAGGCGCCGGCCGUCCACCACGGCGAACUUGUGGUGCAUGUGGACGGCGCCGGAGUCACACCUCACACAGAUGCCUGGGGAAUGGAAGGGGAAUACACAGGAUGAGAGGGGCCAUGCUAUAUUCUGAAUAGUCACAGUUGUGGUGCAUUGUGGUGGAGUCACACCUCCCACAGAGUUGGACCUCACAGAGAUUCCAAAUAGAGAGAAACAGAAAGAGACAGACAGACAGCUUGUGCCAUUCAUCAUUUGUCUGUCUAAGGAAGUGGUUCCCAACCUUUUUUUUUCCCUUAAAAAAAUUGUGGCACACCUUGAUGGGAUAAAUAAUUUUGCAGCACAUCUGAAAUGUCCCAGUUAAUGUAUUUAAUAGUAAUGAACUCAAUCUAACUGAUCCAAACUGUAUUUUUUUAAAUUAAAUACAUUUUCAUAGUUUCUUAAUAAAGAUGAUUCAUUUGUGUGUACCCAG